GCCGCCGUAGCUCAGCCGGGUAGAGCACCGGCCUCGUAAGCCGGGGGUCGCGGGUUCGAAUCCCGCCGGCGGCUCCA
rnacentral:tRNA from 1 species